rnacentral:rRNA from 1 species
AGCGAACGCUGGCGGCAGGCCUAACACAUGCAAGUCGAACGAACUCUUCGGAGUUAGUGGCGGACGGGUGAGUAACACGUGGGAACGUGCCUUUUGGUUCGGAAUAACUCAGGGAAACUUGUGCUAAUACCGAAUGUGCCCUUCGGGGGAAAGAUUUAUCGCCAUUAGAGCGGCCCGCGUCUGAUUAGCUAGUUGGUGAGGUAACGGCUCACCAAGGCGACGAUCAGUAGCUGGUCUGAGAGGAUGACCAGCCACACUGGGACUGAGACACGGCCCAGACUCCUACGGGAGGCAGCAGCGGGGAAUCUUGCGCAAUGGGCGAAAGCCUGACGCAGCCAUGCCGCGUGAAUGAUGAAGGUCUUAGGAUUGUAAAAUUCUUUCACCGGGGACGAUAAUGACGGUACCCGGAGAAGAAGCCUCGGCUAACUUCGUG